rnacentral:lncRNA from 1 species
CGUUCAUCGCAUGAACGUUGUUUCGAGAUCUUUCGUAAUUAGGUAAGAAUUAAAACUUUUAAAACCAUUAGGAAGAUCAAAUCUUCACCUUGCGCGGGUAGAUGAUCACCGCAAAUCUGAAUUCGUGGUUUUGGAAGAGGGUUCGCUUGAAGCCGUUCAAACGUCCGGCCUCUACGGGUAUCCACACGAAGUAGAGGAUCGAUCAAAUCUUUCUUGUCUUCCCGGGGUGCUAGCUCCCUUGCAAAGACUUCUUUUGAUGGCUGAUCUCCUCUCUUUCAAUCAACUCUUGAUUGCUCUUGAGAGGAGGAAGAAGAAGGAUGAAGAAAAGGAAGAAGAUCCAAAUCCCUGCAGCCUUCUUUCUAUCUCCCUGCGUUGGAUGGAGGAAGAGAAGGGAAGGAGGCCGCCACCCUUUCUUUGGCUUCUCUCUUGCUUGCG